AUCCUUUUGUGGUUCAUAAGUGCAAUGAUCAGGUAUUCAAACUGUUGUGUGAGAUGGUGCCUCCCUCAAACCUUGUUAUAGCCUGGGCACAGUACUCGUCUGACA
ensembl:snoRNA